rnacentral:rRNA from 1 species
CCUUGUACACACCGCCCGUCACACCAUAGGAGUUGGUUUUACCUGAAGGCGGUGCGCUAACCCGCAAGGGAGGCAGCCGACCACGGUAGGGUCAGCGACUGGGGUG